rnacentral:rRNA from 1 species
AGUGAACGCUGGCGGCGUGCUUAACACAUGCAAGUCGAACGAGAACGGGUUAUAGCUUGCUAUAAUUGUCAGCUAAGUGGCGCACGGGUGAGUAAUGUAUAGGUAAUAUGCCUCUUACUCAGGGAUAACAAAUGGAAACGUUUGCUAAUACCUUAUACUCCUUAUUAACAUAAGUUAAUAAGGGAAAGAUUUAUUGGUAAGAGAUUAGCCUGUAUUGUAUCAGUUAGUUGGUGGGGUAAUGGCUUACCAAGACUAUGACACAUAACUGGUUUGAGAGGAUGAUCAGUCACACUGGAACUGAGACACGGUCCAGACUCCUACGGGAGGCAGCAGUGGGGAAUACUGCACAAUGGACGAAAGUCUGAUGCAGCAACGCCGCGUGGAGGAUGACACAUUUCGGUGCGUAAACUCCUUUUAUAUGAGAAGAUGAUGACGGUAUUAUAUGAAUAAGCACCGGCUAACUCCGUGCCAGCCGCCGCCGUAA